rnacentral:rRNA from 1 species
UACAGAGGGGGCAAGCGUUGUUCGGAAUUACUGGGCGUAAAGGGCGCGUAGGCGGCCUGUUAAGUCAGACGUGAAAUCCCUCGGCUCAACCGGGGAACUGCGUCUGAUACUGGCGGGCUUGAAUUCGGGAGAGGGAUGUGGAAUUCCAGGUGUAGCGGUGAAAUGCGUAGAUAUCUGGAGGAACACCGGUGGCGAAGGCGGCAUCCUGGACCGACAUUGACGCUGAGGCGCGAAAGCCAGUGGAGCAAACGGG